ACGAACGCUGGCGGCGUGCUUAACCCAUGCCAGUCGAACGUGAUUUUUGUGGAAAUUCUUUCGGGAAUGGAAAUGAAAUGAAAGUGGCGAACGGGUGAGUAACACGUGAGCAACCUACCUUACACAGGGGGAUAGCCGUUGGAAACGACGAUUAAUACCGCAUGAGACCACAGAAUCGCAUGAUAUAGGGGUCAAAGAUUUAUCGGUGUAAGAAGGGCUCGCGUCUGAUUAGCUAGUUGGAAGGGUAAAGGCCUACCAAGGCGACGAUCAGUAGCCGGUCUGAGAGGAUGAACGGCCACAUUGGAACUGAGACACGGUCCAAACUCCUACGGGAGGCAGCAGUGGGGAAUAUUGCACAAUGGGGGGAACCCUGAUGCAGCGACGCCGCGUGAGCGAAGAAGGUUUUCGAAUCGUAAAGCUCUGUCCUAUGAGAAGAUAAUGACGGUAUCAUAGGAGGAAGCCCCGGCUAAAUACGUG
rnacentral:rRNA from 1 species